CAGCGGAGCGUGUGGUUUAAUUCGAUGCAACGCGAAGAACCUUACCUACCCUUGACAUGCCAGGAACCUGCCAGAGAUGGCUGGGUGCUCGAAAGAGAGCCUGGACACAGGUGCUGCAUGGCUGUCGUCAGCUCGUGUCGUGAGAUGUUGGGUUAAGUCCCGCAACGAGCGCAACCCUUGUCAUUAGUUGCCAUCAUUCAGUUGGGCACUCUAAUGAGACUGCCGGUGACAAACCGGAGGAAGGUGGGGAUGACGUCAAGUCCUCAUGGCCCUUAUGGGUAGGGCUUCACACGUCAUACAAUGGCCGGUACAGAGGGUUGCCAAGCCGCGAGGCGGAGCCAAUCCCAGAAAGCCGGUCGUAGUCCGGAUUGCAGUCUGCAACUCGACUGCAUGAAGUCGGAAUCGCUAGUAAUCGCGGAUCAGCAUGUCGCGGUGAAUACGUUCCCGGGUCUU
rnacentral:rRNA from 1 species